rnacentral:rRNA from 1 species
GUUGAACGCUGGCGGCAGGCCUAACACAUGCAAGUCGAGCGGAGUGGCGGACGGGUGAGUAAUGACCAGGACUCUGCCCGGCAGUUGGGGCUACCAUCCGGAAGCGGGCGCUAAUACCGCAUAGUAUCAGAUGAGCCUAGGUCGGAUUAGCUAGUUGGUGAGGUAAAGGCCUACCAGGGCGACGAGUCGUAGCUGGUCUGAGAGGAUGAUCGGUCACACUGGAACUGAGACACGGUCCAGACUCCUACGGGAGGCAGCAGUGGCGAAUAUUGGACAAUGGGCGAAAGCCUGAUGCAGCCAUGCCGCGUGUGUGAAGAAGGUCGUCGGAUUGUAAAGCACUUUAAGUUGGGAGGCGGUACCAACAGAAUAAGCACCGGCUAACUUCGUGCCAGCAGCCGCGGUAAUAC